CCGUAGGUGAACCUGCGGAAGGAUCAUUAUCGAAUAAACUUGAACAGGUUGUUGCUGGCCCUCUGGGCAUGUGCACGCUUGUCCAUCUUUAUCAUUUCUCCAACUUGUGCACUUAUUGUAGACCUUUAGAUUUUGGGACUGCUGUGCUUGUCAUCAGUCGGCUUUCCCUUUCUUUUAUUAAGGUCUAUAUGAUUUCACAAUCUCAUAAAUGUCGAAUGCAUGUUUUUAAAAACAAAAGAAAUAUAUACAACUUUCAGCAACGGAUCUCUUGGCUCUCGCAUCGAUGAAGAACGCAGCGAAAUGCGAUAAGUAAUGUGAAUUGCAGAAUUCAGUGAAUCAUCGAAUUUUUGAACGCAUCUUGCGCUCCUUGGUAUUCCAAGGAGCAUGCCUGUUUGAGUGUCAUCAAGUUCUCAACCACAUAUUUUUUGUGGCUUGGAUUGUGGGGGUGUUGCCGGCUUUUAUAUAAAAGUAGGCUCUCCUUAAAUGCAUAAGUGGUGUUUAGAAAAGCUACGUGUCGGGUGUUAUAAAUUGAUAAUACACCUUUUUGGCAAUUCUAAUAUGCUGCUUCCAACCCUUUGUUUUGAUGAUUUUGACCUCAAAUCAGGUAGGACUACCCGCUGAACUUAAGCAUAUCAAUAAGCGGAGGAA
rnacentral:rRNA from 1 species